UGGGGGAUAUUGCACAAUGGGCGAAAGCCCGAUGCAGCGACGCCGCGUGGGGGAUGAAGGCUUUCGGGUUGUAAACCUCUUUCGCUAUCGAACAAGGCCCGCUUAGGGUGGGUUGAGGGUAGGUGGAGAAGAAGCGCCGGCUAACUACGUGCCAGCAGCCGCGGUAAUACGUAGGGCGCGAGCGUUGUCCGGAAUUAUUGGGCGUAAAGGGCUUGUAGGCGGCUUGUUGCGCCUGCUGUGAAAACGCGGGGCUUAACUUCGCGCGUGCAGUGGGUACGGGCAGGCUUGAGUGUGGUAGGGGUGACUGGAAUUCCAGGUGUAGCGGUGGAAUGCGCAGAUAUCUGGAGGAACACCGAUGGCGAAGGCAGGUCACUGGGCCAUUACUGACGCUGAGGAGCGAAAGCAUGGGUAGCGAACAGG
rnacentral:rRNA from 1 species